rnacentral:lncRNA from 1 species
GGGCUGGGGAUUUAGCUCAGUGGUGCUGCCACCUGCUUCACAAGCACAUGGUCCAGAGUUUGAUCCCUGGUACCAAAAAAAGGUUCAGCUAUUGUCCCUUGGUGAUAAACCAAGUAUUCAAUUAACAGUGUCAGUAAGGUUAAAUUUCCCGACAAGGAGCGUAAAUUAUGAACUACAUAUAUUUCACGAUUUCUACUAUUUCAUUGUAUUGAUUUUGUUCUUUCUGCAGGAAGCAUGAAGGACAAAGCAGAAACCCCAAAUACAGGAUUUCCAUCUAGCCCAGAAAGCAGCUGCACUGGAGACUGCAGGACUAAGGCACAUCUCCACUUUAAACUCAGGUGGAUGGCCUGCACUGUAACAUGGAAGUAAGAAUACACAUUGAGAUCACCCAUACUGAUUACAACCCUUAAAUGUGUCCCCUACCCCAACUGUAUCCUGCCUCAUUUUCUUGAGCACCCACUCUUGAGUGUGUCUUAUAUCUUCCUUUAAUAAAUCCUUGUCUAAUAAAUCAUGUCUUUUACUGACAUCCUGAAAAUUCUUUUCAGCGAACCUGCAUACUGUUAAAAGGGUAGGUUAAACUUAUUUCAGCCUUGGGGACCCUUGGACCCAGCCUGUGACAAAGUGAAAGGGAGAAACCAUUUGCCAAAAAGAAUUAACAGAAGUCUCAGAAAAGUGAAACUACCUUAAGGUCAAGACCAAUGUCCCAGGACCCAUCAGGGUUCUAGAGUUUCUAGUGUCCCAGUUAAUUCACAUGUAAGUGUUAGGAUUUCCCUUGUCUUAAAAUGGCUGCUACAUAAAACAGCAGCCUCCUCCUUCCCAUAAUGCUCUGCACCUUAAAAUGGCUGCCACAUGGAAUAGCAGCCUCCUUCCCAUAACGCCAUAUUAAAAUAUGGCUUCUCCCGACAAAGAACAGUCGUCUUCUGCCCAACAUGCCCCUCUUCCGCCAAGAAAGGUAACCUGAUACUUGCUACCUCCUAGCAACUAGUGGUGUUAUAAGCCCCUCCUAGCAUGUCACAGGCUCCUCCAAUCCCAUAAUACUUACUACCUCACAACUCCACCCCAGCUCAGGAUAACUGCUCUGCUCCUAUAAAAGAAGUUCCCUGUUCUGCCAUGUUGCUCUCUCUCCAUUGUUUGGAGAUAGCCAGGCAGAUCCUCC